rnacentral:tRNA from 1 species
AGCUGCUUAGUUUAACUGGUCAAGAACGGGGUGUAGUCGCCAAGGAACAGGUUCGAGUCCUGUAGCAGCA